rnacentral:rRNA from 1 species
AUUGAACGCUGGCGGCAGGCCUAACACAUGCAAGUCGAGCGGAUGAAGGGAGCUUGCUCCUGGAUUCAGCGGCGGACGGGUGAGUAAUGCCUAGGAAUCUGCCUGGUAGUGGGGGAUAACGUCCGGAAACGGGCGCUAAUACCGCAUACGUCCUGAGGGAGAAAGUGGGGGAUCUUCGGACCUCACGCUAUCAGAUGAGCCUAGGUCGGAUUAGCUAGUUGGUGGGGUAAAGGCCUACCAAGGCGACAAUCCGUAACUGGUCUGAGAGGAUGAUCAGUCACACUGGAACUGAGACACGGUCCAGACUCCUACGGGAGGCAGCAGUGGGGAAUAUUGGACAAUGGGCGAAAGCCUGAUCCAGCCAUGCCGCGUGUGUGAAGAAGGCCUUCGGAUUGUAAAGCACUUUAAGUUGGGAGGAAGGGCAGUAAGUUAAUACCUUGCUGUUUUGACGUUACCAACAGAAUAAGCACCGGCUAACUUCGUG